rnacentral:lncRNA from 1 species
UUUUUUUUCCCCUUUUGCUGUUUCUCUUCUUUCUUGUACGCAAAUUCUCCUACCGGACAAGUGGAUAAGUGCAGGUACGCGAGAUGAGAAUGGAUAAUCCCGUGCAAAGUUUGAACAUAUCCAGAUCUGUUAAAACAGCAUCUUGAUAAACCCGGUGAAAAGAGAUCUUGAUAUGGAAUGGAGUAGUACCAAACCAAGCUUUCCCAGAGCUUUUUUUUCUUUGCCACGAACCCCAAUAGCACAUACAAAACAGUAAUAGGGAAGCCACAGUUCAUACAAAAUUUCAAUUUGCCUUUGUCCACACAAGCACACAAUCAAGUCAUAGACUUACAACAAUGGAUCUCCAAUCUCAAUCUGGAAACGGACAAAGAUACUUGGUCAUAUAUUUGGGGAUCAUCAACAUUCACAACCAAUAAGGCAUAUCAAACAAUCAUCGGACAGAGAAGCAUACAUCCAACAUUUCGUUGGCUCUGGAGAUCACGGUGCUAGAAAAAACACAAAAAUGUAUUUUGGUUAUUUCUCAAAGACCGAUUAAGCACAAGGGAUCUCUUACGAAAAAGACACAUGCAACUAGAAUCGUACACAUGUGACCUUUGCAUUCGGUAGAAAAGGGAAACAGUAAAGCACUUAUUCUUUUGUUGCAACUUCACCAAAGCAUGCUGGAAUAGCAUUGGGGUAACUUACAUUACAACAAGGACAACAAUGAACAUCAUUGGCCAAAUAAAGACAAAGUUAAGGGUACCAUUUUCUAUGGAAAUCAUUAUACUCAUGACCUGUAGCAUUUGGACAACAAGAAACGGGUUGAUCUUCAGCAACAUUGACCCACUGCCGCAGUUAUGCAGAAGGAAAUUCAACUCUGAAUUUUAGGAUCUGUUGUUAAGAGCCAGGGCAAGACACAUUCAGGGUUACACUCUGUUUAGUUAGUUUUAAGUAGACACCCUUUGUAGACUUUUUUCCUUUCUUGUAAUAAUCCGCACUCUCCUUUCUUUACUUCUUUAAUAUAACCAGCAGGGUCGGAACACUUCCUGUUCCUUAAAAAUAAUAAAAUAAGAUCGGAGAGUAUCAACACUGGAUCUACAGGUAGGCAUAUGAUGUGAGAGGAAUAUUGAAGUUCCAAAAUUAGAGAAAUCGGUCUGAACAAGUGCUAAACAGCUAAAGGCAUAGGGAUUUUAUUGGCAGGACUUUAGUAACUAGCUUUACCUAUCCCUAACAUCGAAAUAUUGUCCCUAUGCUUUUGAUCGACCCAUAUAACUAUCAUUUGGCCUCUAGCAUCGCAUAACUCGUCAAAAGUAUUAUAAGAAAAUGCUAGAGAAUAGAGAUGCUCCGUUUACUGAUGAUACACCGGUAAAAACUCGUCCGUAUAGGAGAAUCACAUAGGCUAUAUCCAAACCUAAGUAGGUGGGUGUUUGUGAUUUUUUAUUAAUUUAUUUGAGGAUAACUAUUUUUAAGCUGGAAAGUACUUCCAUUAAGACAUGAUGCUAGUCAAAUCGCUAGCGUGGUUGUCGAUAUACAAACUACGAAGUAGCUUGAACUAUAAGCCCCUCAUCUGAACUACUAUUGGGGUCUACAUUUUGUUUCUGUCUGGCCCAGUGUAGACUGGCACGUGGAACUGAGCAGGCCCAAUCCACAAAAAACACAAUUGGCUACGAAACCCACGUGUUAUCUAGCCCAGUGCGCCUGCAACGGCCCAGUAGUGUCUUGUGGCUACAAAUCAUUCCGCUUCGUGGUAAAAACCGCGUAACGAAGCGCCGCUUGCAGGGAGAGCGAACGGAGCACUUGUUUGCGAGUGCAGCGCUUCGGCUUGCUGCUGGACCACAGUAAAUGCAUGCAUCGCGUGCAUCAUAGUAGCCCGACACUAGUACCGAUCUGCAGGCCUCUUGAAUGCGGGCUCCCCCAAGUACCGUGCGCGUGGCCGGCCACGGCGCCACGCCGCCCGUGUCCGUUCCUUCUUCAUCCGAGGCCUUUUUAGUUGCCCACUUUGAACAAUCAAAAUUACUGUAGCAAUACUGUAGCGUUUCGUUUGUAUUUGUGAAUUAUUGUCCAAAUAUUGACUAAUUAGGCUCAAAAGAUUCGUCUCGCAAAGUACAACAAAACUGUGUAAUUAGUUUUUGAUUUUGUCUACAUUCAGUACUCCAUGCAUGGACCGCAAGUUUGAUGUGAUGGGGAAUCUUCUUUUUACAUAGUGCUAAAGUUGGGAUUUUGGGACUUAACAAGGCCCGAGACGCGCAUAGCCUUCUACUCCACACCCCCCAGCUGCACGUCUGCUCUGCCUGGUGCCUGCGCUUUACUAAACGGAUAGCCUGUACGGUGGCAGUGGUCGCUCCCAGCACUGCACUUGACAGGGGCCCUCUCCGCCGUUUGAGACUGGACCGAAUUGAACGCGGCGCAAGCGCAAUCCCGCUUCCGGCAAUGGCCCUACCGUCGCGGCGGCAGGUCUAGAGCUGCUGGGUUGAGCCGAAAAUGCCUUGUUUGUAGGGCAUGCAUGCGUGCUGACAUGCAGCGCGACGGGGCCGGGGCUGGGUUGACCUCGAAGGAGAAGCAGCAGAGGUGGCACAACGGAUCGAAUCAUGAAAUCGAAGCGGGGCGAGGAAUGGGGGAUUGAUGAGGGUGAUCGUGUGUCGUGUUCGUGGUGCCGUCUGGCCUGCCUCGGCCUUUAUGGCCGGCCCGCACGGCACGGCAGGGAUCUCGUAAGCUUUUAUCGAAUCGUAGCCUUGAUUGCAACCUUCAUUCAAUCCCGGUCCUCAUUACUCAGUUAACAACCGUCCUCUUCGGACCUGCGCCGUGCUGAUGCUCUAUGCUAUGCUUGCUCGGCUCCUUCAAUUCUCUGCGGCCCCUACGCAUCGAUCGCACAGUGCUUCCCGGCCGGAGUACCGCGCGCGCGCGCAGAGCACUGGAGCAGUUCGCACGCCGCGGCAGUAGAGUACAGCAGUGUACGUUACUAGCACUGUAGCACUACUACUGCUCUUCGCGUACAUGGCGUCCGUCACGGCGUCGUAACUGCUUCAAUUCCGCCUUCAGCUGCCAUGAGUCCCGAGCGAGAUCCCCCGGUCCCCGGCGGCACGGGGAGAAGGACACCGCAUCGGCAGGGUGAUCCGACAAGGAUCAUCGGAUCCCUGCGCGGCUGUGCGCGUCCGGGGGCGCACGCGAUGACACGAGCCAGUGAUCUUCUGGCCCCCAUGUCGCGUGCCGUGCUACGCGCGCGAGAGCUCCAGGGACGGCACGCGGGCGCGGAUACGGUAGGCGCUGUGCUCCAGACCAGUGGUAGUAUACUAGAAUACCAGUGGCAGAGCGCUCCACGCUGGCCGGGUCCCGCCGUAGCGUACGGUGCCCCAUAUCCUGCAUUGUGCAUUCCUGCUCUCUGAAGUCCGAACUCUCUCCGACUCUCCCACCCUCACCGGGGCCUCAACCUUAUUCCUCGUCGGGAUGACAUCACCGCCCGCCCGCCUCGGCGACCGUGUCAUGCCGCUUGACUCGGGCCAAAACAGUUGUUUUUUUCUGCGGCGGGCGCGCGCACGGGCCUUUGCGUCACGCGUUCGUCCGCGGCGGGGGCGCAGUCGCCGGUUGCGUCGCGGCGAGGGACGCAGGGCUGGACCGAUAGCGAGGGGAGGGACCACGUGCCAGUGGUGGUACCAGAGGACGCGUUGUGUGCAUUUGGGUUGAGGACACGGACUCGACUCACGGAGGGACCGUUUGGGUUUCGGCUCCGUCCACUGGUCGGAUUGCAGUACAGGAGCAUUCUUGAUGCUGAGAAUUUUUGGAAGCUGGAGAGGCUAAAAAUGGCCAGCAACCAUGUUAGUUACCGGUGUGGUUUAAUUUGCGGCUCUAACUACGUUCACAAGGCCACAACCGUUGGUAGCAUGGUAGCACUACGCGUUGCCUGUGUUUGAAUUUGCUUAUAAAGUAAGCAAACAGCAUGGAGCCAUUAAGGACUAUUACUACCACACCACACCUACAGGGUGUAGGAUAAGUCAACACCAACCAUUAAACUUUCUGUUCGAGGGUCCCCGUUGGCCGUUGCGGAUACUCCCACAUGGAGGACGGAGCCAUGACCAUGAGCCAUCGUUUUUGCAAUUGCUGAUGGGUUCAGCAGUACUCCAGUGCAGGACGCAUAGCAUAGGCUUUCCCAACAAUGUUCAUGUACUCCCGAUGCAUUUAUGGGUCUGCAGUAAACGCAACGGGUUCUCGUAUACCUUCGUACGUGUGGCCCUGCAGUUGCCAUGCAUCACCACUCCCUAAUAGCUUCCCAGCGCGGUCCAGUAUCUGCAAUCGAACACCGAGCCCUAUAUAGCGCGCUCGCCGCUGCAGCAUCCGCCGACGGCCAACCGCACAACACAAGGCGAGGCACCAGAUCCGCUCGCACAUUUAUUUUGCCGGAUCACCGAGUACCGAGUACCAGCCGUGCUACUGGUACAUGGUAACCCGCCGCGCCGAGUGUAGAAAGGGGUGCGGUUUUAACCGGAGAAACCAAUUCGGCAACGCCCCCAAACCAAACAGCUCGGCCUCGUGGCAUCCCGAGAAAGAAAAAUCAUUUGCCGGAUCGGAUCUUGGCGCGGCCUCUUGGCCGGACGCGGCCGCGCCAGCCAAGCCGAGCCCGGCCAGCCACCUCCAAAAGCCGCGCCCCGGGCCGCUCCGCUCGCGGCGGUUCCGUAUCGCGCCUCGCCGACGCCGUCGUCCCUUUUGAGGUGCGAAUGAUUGCGGGCUUCGCGUCCCCACGGCGAGACGACGACGCCCGCGGCCUCGUGCCGCUCGUGUUUUGAGCCCUGCCCCCGGGUCCGCUCCGGGUGUGGCCUCUCUCGCCUUGUUGCCUUGCUCUCUCCGUCUCUCGGGUAGCCGCCAGCCGGGCUCGUAGGGCUAGGGCGCGAGGCAAAGGCAAGCAGGAAGGGGGAAUCUUUGCCCUCCCCACGCCGAGCUGGAGCCAAGCGGUGCCGUGGGAACACGCGUUGCGUCGUCUCCGAUUGGAACAGUGGUUCUCAUCUCAUCUGCAUCGGCUCGGUGGUUGUUGGGCUGCUGGAAAAGUUCUCGGGAAAAGGUUUCCUCUUCGGGGCAUCCGCAUCACGUAGGCCUCACUUGCUUCCCUUCUCUUCUCUUCCACUGGCUGGCGCCUCUCUGCAAGCUCCUGCUCCUCUGCUACCUGCUCGUUCUUCUCCUUGGCGCUACGCUUCUUGCAUUUACUCUGCCGGGCUCUGCGAGGGCUUUCGGUUUUGGCCUCUGUGCUCAGUCGCAUGUUGUUUGGCUGCAGCAGACCUCUGUAAAGGCUACUUCCCUCUUCUUCUGGUCAAGCUUCUCGCCCUGUUCGAGUUCCUCAUCCUGUUCUCGUAGUAUUUUAAAUUGCAAGCCUUUUUCUCGUUUUUGUGGUUUUGAAAAGAGGAAAACUUUUGUUUCGACCAAGGGUUGAAACUGCGACUUUUGCCAUUUGGUCCUCUGCAUCUGCACUGUGUAGCUUUCAAGAACUCCCGAGUUCAUCUCCGCGAGUUCCCAGUUCCCACACUGUAGUUGCUCUACCUUUUCUGUAAUCCCGUUGCUCCCCGGCCAGUUUCUUUCCCGCAUUCUUUUACAAGCUUGCUUCUCUUUUUGAAGCAUCUGCUCCCCUGCUGCAGCUAGGAGGACGCACGCCAUGGGGCGCGCGAUGAGGUGGCUCAAGAAGGUGCUCACCGGCACCAAGAAGGAAGGGGAGAGGGACCGCAAGGAGCACAGUAAUGCCGCGUGCGCCAGCGGCGGCCUCGGGCUCGGGCCGCCGCCGGUGGAGAAGAGGCGGUGGAGCUUCGCGAAGCCGAGGCACAGCAUGGCAGACGGCGGACGGAGGCCCUCGGUGACCGCCGUCGCCGCCGGGGAGCUGUCGCAGGUGCGGCCGUGCAACUGCGGCCUGGAGCGCGAGGUGGAGGCCGCCGUCGUGAUCCAGAAGGCCUUCAGAGGGUACUUGGUAAGUUUGCUGUCAACCGGUUCUUCGUGUUCAUGAUUUAUUGCCAUUUUUCUUUGUUUCAAAGAAUUGUUUGAUUUGUUUCUGCUGCAAGCACUGUUCAACUGAAGAGUCCGGAUGAUUUUGGCCACUCGUUUUCAGUUCUAAGCAACGAAUCGAUGAACAAGUAUGCAUGAUUCUGUCAGAUUCUUUUGCAUUUGCAUUGGACAAGAUAUUUGACUUCACGAACUGCUGCAACUGCAAUCCAUGGCUGCUUGCUGCUGUUCCUUUCCGUUGAGUCGUUAGCUGCUGCUCACUGUUUAAUCUGCUUAGUUUAAUCACAACCUUUUCGCGAUAUUCUUGUUUAUUGCUAGAGUGCUUCGUGAACUGCACGGUGUGACGCACCUAGUCGUCAUCGCAGCUGUUCAAUGCCCAAUUCUUUUCGGUUUCCGAUGCUGCCUGCAGCGUUCCGAUGUGACAGUAAAAAUUUGAAUCUUGCAAUUCAUGUGCAGGCGAGGAAGGCGCUGCGUGCUCUCAAGUCGCUCGUGAAGCUGCAAGCUCUGGUGCGUGGCUACCUCGUGAGGAAGCAGGCCGCCACGACGCUGCGCAGGCUGCAGGCGCUCAUGAGGCUCCAGGCCAGGACGGCGUCGUCCCGGAAAUCUGUUGAACAAGUGAGGAAUUUUGAUACGCGAUAACAUUGCAAAUGUCAGCCACAUUUUACAGGAUAGACGUAAAUUUUAAAAUUUUCAUCGCCUUUUGUGCGUAGGAGCGGAUUGGUGGUGCGCGCGUGAAGCCGGUGGUGCACCGCCGCCGGCUGUCCGACGGCGGGGACAAUGGGUUCGAUCGCAGCCCGCGGAUCGUGGAGAUGGACACGUGCCAGCUCCGGUGCCGGUCGUCCCGGAUCACGAGCCGGUACGCCGCCGACCCGCCGGGCGCCUCGCCGCUGCUCUACUUCCAAAAGCCGGCUUCGCGCCUCCUGGGGCAGGAGCUCGAGCCGCCGCACCCCAAGACGACACACAACACGCCCCGCCUCGGCGCGUUCCCGGGCUUCCCCGGCUCGCCGGCGUCGAAGUCCGGGCGCGGCGCCACGUGCCGGGACGCCGGAGGCAGCCCGCGGUACAUGGCGGACACGGCCUCGUCCGUGGCGCGCACCCGGUGGCAGAGCGCGCCGAGGCAGCGGCAGGGCGAGCACGCGGCGGCGCAAGGGCAGGUGGCCGAGCCGAGGCCCAGCGUCGGGCGCAGCGGGUCCAGGAAGCAGGCGCGGCCGCAGCUGCAGGCGCUGGAAAGCUUCAGCUUCAAGAGCUCGGAAGCGAGCCGCGUGGAGGACUCGGAGCUCAGCGACGAGGUCACCAGAGACUACUACCUCGACCGGCUCUGGUGAUUCCGCCAUGGCAUCACCAGCUGGUUGAGGAGGAGGAGAUUUUAACAUUUUGGUACAUAUUAGCAUUAGGAUUAUUAGGAUCAAGAAGGCUUAGAUCAUGGCGAGAAUUGACUACUAAUCUAGAAGGAUCAUGUAGCUCGAUCGAAUAUCAUCAGAUCGAACGAAAUAAAAGAAAACUAUGGAAAAGAAAACAGUGAUGGAAAUGCCACAGCUUUGUGCAGCUGUGAACUUGUGAUUGCUUGUUCCAGUUCUGACACCGUACCCCAGCAACUUCAAUGCUGAAACCGACGCCGGCAAUCGCUAGAUGAUACGUACAAAUGGCAUGUAGUAGAUCAGAACGGAGGGGUUCUUGGCACUGACAGAUCCUUCGCAGUGAAAACGAAGGCUGUGGUUGUCCUACUCCCCAACUGGCAACUGCAUUGCGUUUAUGGAUCGCAGCUGAUCGCUUAAAUGUUGACGUGCCGUGCUCUGACGUCAAGUACCACUACUGAAGUGGUGCUUGACUGCGCUUGCAGACGCAGCUUUGAGUACAAGCCAGUCUGUUGAGCGUUGACACGGCAGAGCUUGGUUUCAGCUGCAAGGGUUUGCAAGGAACUCCAGGCUUGUUUGGAUCGAGACCUGGCAGGCAGCUUGCCGGCCAGCAGCGAUCUCAGCCCUAGACGACCAAAAUCGGACGCCUGGGAGCAUUGUCUGAGCUCCAGCCAAGCUCAAAGCAAACAAGCCUUAUGCCUCUGCACUGCACGUUUGGAAGUGGCUCAGUACCAAUAUGGAGUACGUGUACUAUACGGUUUGCUGUUAGCCGGCGUUAGCAAAGCUCCAGGAUGACACAAUCAUAUUUUGCAAUACGCGGAUGACACAAUCAUAUUCAUGGACCAUGAUUUAGAGCAAGCUAAAAAUAUGAAGCUAUUGGUCCGCAUUUUUGAACAAUUGUCAGAUUUAAAAAUUAACUUCCACAAAAGUGAGAUCUCCUGCUACGGUGAAGCGAAACAACAUGAGCAACAAUAUACUGAAUUGUUUGGUUGUGAACUAGGCGCAUAUCCUUUCAGGUAUUUAGGAAUCCUGAUGCACCACAAUAAACUACGCAAUGCAGACUAAAGUGCUAUCGAGGAAAGAUUCAAACGCAAACUAAGCACCUGGAAGGCCAAACAUUUAUCUUACGGGGGACGACUGGUUUUAUUAAACUCUGUCUUGAGCAGCCUGCCUAUGUUCAUGAUGUCCUUCUUUGAACUUCCUGAACGUUUCCUGAAAAAACUUGAUUUCUAUCUAUCAAGAUUCUUUCAGUAAGGCAAGAAUGAUAAAAGAAAGUACCGUCUAGUCAAUAGGAUAUCUUAUGUCGUCCUAGGGUCUGGGAAUACCUGACCUUUGGAUUAAAAACAAGUGUCUACUUAGCAAGUGGUUAUUUAAACCGCUAAAUGAAGAUGGUACAUGGCAGACUUUACUUAGAAAUAAGUAUCUAAGCUUGAAGUGUCUUUCUCACAUAAAAAUUAAACCUGAAGACUCGUAUUUCUAGAAAGGUCUGUUAAGGAUCAAGGAAGAUUUCCUGGGUUGUGUACUUUAUGGGUCGCAAACUAGAUUUUGGGAGGACAUUUGGUAGGCUCUAAACCACUAAAAGAGCAAUUCCUUAACCUGUACAAUAUAGUCUACUAUCCUCAUGUUAUAUCCUCGUGUUACAUGGCAAAUGUCAUGAAUCAAAUGCCAUUGCGCAUUCUUUUAUAAAAGAUUUAAUUGAGGAUAAGUUGACUGCCUAGAAUAACCUGGUAGCUAGAAUAGCCUCGUACUGACUUUUAGAUGGAAGGGACAAGUUUACCUGGGAUUUGCAUAGACAUGGUAGUUUCACCGUGCAGUCCAUGUACCAAUAUCUUAUAAAUCAGGGCAUUUCCUUCACCAACAAAUUUAUAUGGAAGCUGAAAAUACCUCUGAAGAUAAAGAUAUUCCGUGGGUGUGGCAGCUCUUACGUGGGCAAUUUGGUGUACGCGUAAUGAUUUGGUUUUUGAAAAAAAAUGGUUUACCUCUUUUAUGCAAGCUAUCCUCAGAGGAGCAUAUUGGUUGCGAUUUUGGUCAAUAUUGAGCAUAUUGGUUGCGAUUUUGAUCCCUAUUAUAGUGUGAGGAUGCAAGAGAGACUGUCCUCUUAGCAAGCAAUGCACUCGUGGUGGUCGUUUUGGAUAUAUUUGUUAAGAAUGGAUGGAGAAGUAAUAAUAGACUUUGCUUUUGUUUCCUCCUUCAGUUGUACUAUUUACCAUUUUAUCCGUGAUGAGCUUAUAAACUGAAGAUGUUGUAAACUUAGCCGUGUGCGCAAUCGCAUGGGUCGGAAACUUAUCUAUUUUAUUCAAAAAGCAAAGCUCCAAGAUUCCGGCAAUGGACAUCCGAAAGGACAGCAUCACAUUACCAACAUUUCGAACAAAGAAAAAUAUUUCUCCAUGCAAAAUGAUGCAAAAUUACCUGUGCCUGUGCUGAGGUCCGACGCGUGGUUUCGACGCGGGGGCACACGACAAAACCAGAAGACUUCCCCCAUCGCGGACGACAUCACAUGGCCCGCGGCUGUCGAUUUUGUUUGAGCCGACGGCGUGAUGCGAGGGGCGUUUGAGAUUUGUUCGCAUCUGCACGCCGCGACGCUGGUCGAUCUGGAUCCUGCAGCCCACGACAGCCCGGCGUGGCCCGAUCUGCCUGCGCCUCUGCAGGGAGAAGAUUGCUGCGCUGUGAAGCGUGUACGCAAACGCUUGACGCUGUCAGUGAGUGGCUCAGGUCAAUGCUGGAGUCAAAUACUGUGGUGACCUGACCUGUUACUAGUAAAUGCUGGUGUUGCUCUGGGUCUGUGAAUUGUGAAAGAGAUCGAGUGAAAUCUGCAGAGUUUUUUUUUUUUGUGUUUGAAAAGAAGGAACGUGUUGGGUCUUGGAACGGACGACAAUGUGGGCAGAAAGCUCGGCUUUACUUGAUGAGAAAUGCUCAGCUUUUACUGGAUUUUUUUUAGAAAACCGGGUUGCAUUUCAUUUAUUUAUAUGAAAAGUUACACACAUAUCCUUACAAAGGAAUCCCUGAUAAAAAUAAAAAAUUACAACCAAGUCCUUGCAAGGUUCUCCUGGUCAUCUUCGAUGCCGGCAACCGGAGCCACCACCCAACGCGCCGCCCCUGGAAGAGAGGUCCGCCGAGCUUGAAACUUAAAGCCGGUUCCAACCUCGACGUAGAAGCUUCCAAAGAAGCCACAUAAAAUUUUAACGCUACAUCAAUUGGCGCACCGAACACUCCGAAGCGCACUUGGAUCGUUGAAGGCCAAGCAAACCAAAAUGGCCAUCGGCCAUAUCAUCGCCGAGAGAAUCAGGAUCUGCCGCCGCAAGCACUGCCGGCGACCCUGAAGCAAACGACGUCGAAACAACCCCAAAAAGGAGACUCCAACCCGAUUUCUCAAGGUGGGAGUAGGCAUACCUCACGGAUUCAUCUUCGCAAGACGCGUCGCCACCGCCGCAGUCGCCGGAGAUGAUCUAGAGGGACAAAAUCACCGGUAGCCGGAAGUCAAAGCCACCGGGAUAAACUAACCUCUGCCUCGCCGUCGACGAAGCGAGGAAACCUAACCCUAACCUAACUAGAUAAGAAGAGGGUAUGUACACCGGCCAUCGAUCCCGCGGCUCCUCUCCACCUCCGGCACUAGGUCGGUCGCCGUACAUGAUGAGGAGCCGGCGAGAUCGACGCCGGGAUCGGAAUCGCCCUUGCGCCGCCCUUGUGUACGGUAGAAAGGGGGAGGAAAGGUCGAGAGAGUGCGAGCAGUAGUGCGGAAAGGGUUUUACUGGAUCUUUUGGUUGCAGACCUGCAGCAACUGCAGUGAUUGCUCCAAUGAUGGACUGGGCUGCAAAUGCAUUCAUAAUACACGGCUAAAGCUUUCGGGCCUGGUCGGUGAAGAAGGCUGGCAUAGGCCCAUGCAGGUAUGUGACUCGAAAAACUUCCGUGGGCCAAUACUUUUAUUGGGCCUUAGCCCACAAAGGCCCGCUCGUGUAGCAGCAAGCAUGGGGGCAAAUGGAGAGAACCGAGACGGCGAGACCGAAAAGGAGAUUGCAGGGGACAUCAAAAGCUCGUGCAAUGGCAGCAAUGUGGAAUUAGUAUUUGCGUUCUGUUCUUUUCUCUUCACAACAAUCAAAGUCAUGGCGUGUCAAUGAGUUCCUCCCGUGCUACAACUUGAGCCACUCGAGCCCGUCGAUGAAGUCGAGCGAGAUGAAGGGCUUGGCCUCCUCGUCGGUGAGCUCCCGCGACCACUGCACCCGGCCGGCGUAGUUGGCGCCCGGCCCCGUGCACUUGUACUGCCCGUAGAACACCGUCCUGAAACAUUCGAGCGAGCAAAGCCAACCGGCGUCAGCAUCCGGCACGACACGCGAGCAAGAAGGAGAAGGGCCGAUGAAGAAGAAAGAAGGCACCGACAUCUCCCGGGUUGGGUCGCCCCAGUUGUACCAUCCGCGCGGGAUGAUGAUGUUGUCCAUGUAGGUGUAGGCGAAGACGACCCGGGAGAAGGUGCCCCAGGCGCGGCCCAGGUAGAGCGCCCCGGACCCCGUCACCCGGCAGUUCACGAACGAGAACCCCGUGUCCUCCAGCAGGCUCUGCCUGUUCUGCGCCGUCAGCGCCCCGUAGUUCCGCGCGAUCGCGUGCACAUGGCACCCCUGCAGAUGCAUUGCAUUUUCCAUUUGUGACACUUCAUGUUACGGCAGCAGCCAUGGGGACGCAAGAAAGCAAGCAUAAAAAAGGCAAGCAAAGCCGGCAGGCGUCCACGAGGCGUACGUCCAGCCGCCGCGUCACGGGCGGCCGGGGGCUCGAUCGGCCGGCACCCUGUGGCCAAGCCGCCAGAGAACCUGCAGGCCUCAGGAAAACCGCACACCGCAACCGUGCCGGCGCCAGCGACAAGGGAGCCACAUGAAGGGUUCGCCUCACCUCCACUGUGCCCCAUUAAAAACUGAAAGGCAGGGGGGAUUACUUAAUGGGCAUCCACAUUCCAUUUGCACCUGCUUUUCAGCGACCUCCUUGGCAGUAAACGUGGCCGGAUACAUGCUACUGUUGCCUAGUACAUGUUAUAAUGAUGUGCUCGUACUAUAGCAUCCUCUUGUCCGUGGCUGGACGCUGGUGUUGAAGAAUGUACUAGCCAUGCAGGGCCAGCCAGUCACAGGAUCAGGCCAAACGAGGACAGAGCACGAGAGGAUGUGAUGCGGUGAGCAGCACAUCGGUGGCGCCGGGUGCACGGACAUGGCGCCACGGAGCUAGUGGGAGGAUGGCAUUUUGUCCCCACAGAUUCUUUCUGGGACAGCAUCACAGAUUCACAGUCCCAUGCCUAGGAAGGAGGAACUUUCCCCCGGGUUUAACAGUUUCUGUGUCCCGUAACCGGAACCUGAAGUGCCAUAGCCCGAUACGGCGAUACUGCAAUGACGGCCUCUGUGACUGCUAGGACACUGCCACGUAGGACACGAGAUGCUCUGUGCGGAAGCUGUGGCUACUGACAUGCUCUGUGCGGAAGCUGUGGCCUUUGGUUAAGCUGGAGCUCUGUUUGUCCGCGUAAGGCAAUGGAAGGAACGUGCAGAGUUUUACAGCAGGGGACGUAGUGCGUAGGCUGCUGCUUACCUCGUAGAGGGAGAGCGCGUUGCCGAAGAUGAAGUCGAUGGAGCCCUCGAUGUAGCAGUCCCUGUAGUAGUGCCGGCCCAGGUGGUCGUACAGCGUGUCCUGCGCGCCCAGGAAGUUGCACCCCACGAACGCCGCGUUGUCCGCCGAUAUCCGCAGCGCGACGCCCUGCUUGCCCAGCGCGCCGGGCUUCGGCAUGGGGGCCGUGUUCUGGGCAGCGGAAAUGGAUGUCAGGUUCGUCGUACCGUAGCGACAGAGAACAAAGAUUGCAUCCAAUUCGUUCCCACGGGAGGAAGAAGGGAAGGGACCUUGAAGGUGAUGUUCUUGGCGACGAAGAACAUCGAGUUCACGGCGAACGUGGCGGAGCCGAACGUGCCCAUGGCCCUGCCCCAGGACCCGACCGUGUCCGCCGUGUCGCCCCACUGCACCACCGUCUUGUCGGCGCCGGCGCCCUCCACGGUGACGAACGCACGCAUCGGCGAUAUGUUCACCUUCUCCCUGCAGCACGCAAGUACAGGUCUCGCUCUUACGCUCUUGCCACGCUAAGCGCUGGCCAUUAUAAACCCAAGAAAGAAACAAUCUCCAAAACACAGGGCGGCCGGGCAAGAGGCGCGCAAUGUACGUACGUGUACGUGCCGGCGUUGACCUUGAUGACGACGCGGGCGAGGUUGAUGAGCGGGAGCGAGUCGACGGCGGCCUGGAUGGACGUGAAGUCGCCGGCGCCGGGGGUCUUGUCGACGACGAGCGUUCGGGCGGGCAGGAUUGCGCGGUUGAGCGCCCGGUUGUAGCUGCUGUGGCCCGGCGCGCCCAUGAAGCGCACCCACCGCGUGAACUGCCGCUCGAUCGCCUCCACCCGCGUCGCGUUCACCGGGUACGGCUUCGCGGCCGCCCCCGCCGCCGCCGCCGCGCCGCCCUUCCCCGGCCGCAGGCGCCGGGUGUGCGUGUGCCGCUUCGGCCCGUGCCUGCCCCCGGCCGCCACCCCGCCGCACGACGCGGCGAGAAGCGCCGCGGCGACGCAGCAGCAGAGGAGCACGAGCCGCGCCGUCGCCAUCGUCGUCUGACCGCAAUGCCAGCCGCGCGCGGUUGCAGUGGCCGUGGCCGGUGGCUGUGGGCACGGUCGCGCUGCCCACAAUAACUAGCAACCGGCCAGGGGGAGGGGGGCUAUAAAUUCCGGAGGAGAUAGCGUUAUGGGGAUCACGGGCGUGGCGAUGGAGGGACGGACGGAAUGACUUGGCUCACGAGCCGCGGCGGGAGAGAGAGCGAGAGGCCGCCUGUUAUGUUGGUUGGUUGCGGAGGCGCGUGCGCGCGCAUCCAGCCGGCGGCGCGGCACAUCAGCACAUGCAUGCGCUCGCGUCCUCUGCCGCGAGGCGCCCGUGUCUUUACUAGCGAAGAUGGCAUGCUUGCUAGCUGAAAGAAAGGCCCGCACGGCACAAGUUGUUGCGCCGUGCUGCCUCGGCAGGAUUUCUCGUGCGGGGAAUUGCCUCGGAGGCUGUGACGAGUAAACUUUCUCCUGGGGGGUUUGGUGGUGUGUACGGACUCGAGUGUGAUGUGUUUUACCCCGUGAUGCAAUUUGUUUGGAGUACUGUACUAGCAGUGUACUACUGUUCUUUCUGUACCUGCUGAGUCCAAUCUUUCUUUUGCGAAAGGCUGCAUUAUCACGGCAGUUCACUCAGCGACUCAAAAGAUCACGGGUCAAAACUCAAACCACAUGAAGCCAGAAGCCCAGAGUAAACCACGAGAUCGCUGCCGGCGUCUCUCCGAGACGAGUUGGAUCGCUUACAGGUAAGUCCUUGGACAAAAGAUAGGUAUCUGAUGUAGCCACACAUUUCAACCACGCUUACCAUUGAUCGGAUAAAUCGACGCAUUGCUGUUAGCAUGAAGCGCCAGCAUCAGCAGAGCUGCUUAUGCAGUGUCACGAGUUUACUCCUGUUUACUUACCCAUCAUAUUCGCAACACCUUUGGACAUGUCCAGCGAAGCGAACCAUGAAGGUUAGGUAGGUGGGUACAAUACAGACGCGGGGAAGUGCCUUCCUUUCAUUCCUCCCAUCUGAUGGAUUCCUCUCCAGUCAGUGUUCCUAUGGACUUAACUUUCUGGUCGUUUCUUCGUGCGUGCUUGCUGCCCACCCGUGACCGCGAGCUCGCUCUGCGCGAUCGCUAGCGGCUCCAUAGAUUCUGCCUCAAAAGGAAGAGGAUAAUGCGCAGAAUCGCUAGGUGCCAGACGCAUUGGCUGCUGCUCGCGAGCUAGGCACCCGCGUUCUCACCUUGAACCGUCUGGCACUGCCAUGGCCAUGGCCAAUGCACUGUGUACAAGUGCAUUUUUUCUGCAGAGUGAGAUUUGUACACAUGGUAGACACACCUUGUUGGAUCAAACCAGGCCGACAAUCAUUCUAACCACACGGAUAGGCAAAAAUUGAGCUGGUCCAUGGAACCAAAGGAUUUUUGUUUGCAUCGCUGGAUGAUGAUCGGUCCAACCCAUAAAAAAUAAAGGCGGACUAUUGGUCCAAGAGACCAACAUAAAGCUGGGAGCAUGGGAGUAAGAUUCCACAACACUCACUAUUCAUCAACUUUCUAAAACAGCUACUCCUACAAACUCAGAAUUGUGGCGCACGGCUGGUAAAUCAGGUCACCAGAGCUAGAUGUCCAUGGGCGCAGCAUCUGAACCCCUGCCCUCCUCCUGCAUGGAGCUUGGCUCCGUGGGCGCUGCCUCGGCCGCCUCCAUCGAGUCAAUUGUUUCUUGGAUCUUCUUUGCGUCAAUCAGCUCGAAUGGCUCAAUUGUGUCAUCAGCCUUUUGGCCGAUGAUGGCAACAGUGCAGUUGGAGCUGGUCAGCUUCUCACCUUGAAGCGUUUCCUUUAUGGCAGAGAGGGCAUCCUUGAUCAGUUGCUCCGGGGUGUAGUCCUUGUAGCCCUUGAAUCUGCGCUCAAGGAAAGUCUUGGCGACCUGAGAGCGAGAACCAAUAGCAAAUGCCUGGUACUCAAAGUAAUUCCCACUGGGGCAGUUAUAAUAGAGAUGAGCUCCAGUCUCGUCCAGUCCGGCGACAAGGAACCCAACACCAUAAGGCCUCUUCCAUGAGCGCUGUGUGCAAACCUGCAACAGCAUUAAAGAAAUAACAAGUAAACACAUAAGCCAACUGAUGCGGAAAACAAAAUUACAGGAGUAUUAUCUAGGUGCACAUUGAAGGUGAUUAGGGAUUCAUCUCGAUAUUUGCAUUCAAUUAGGAAAAAAAAGAAUCACACCAACAAACGUGUUCAGACGGACAAGUGCCUCAAAAAAUAGGCAUGCAUGGUAACAGAAAUUUGUUUAUUCAUAUAUACAGUAUGAUCACAGUCAAGUUUGAGGAUACUAUCUUGAUGAAUUAACUAAAAAAUUCUAUAACCCCAACCAAGCACACGUAAUAGACGUAAUACUGGUCACAGCUUGACCCUCCAGUAUUCAAACAGUUAUCAUAAGGACCACUUUCCCCAACUCCACAUCAAUACAAAGCUCAUGUACAGCAGCAUAUGUGUAAAUAAAAAUACUUAAGGAGAAAAUAAAAUCGUGAACUUGGAGCCAGACUUGCUUGAAGCAAUGAAGUUGCUAAUCGGUGAUCCAGAUACCAAGUCAUAGUCAGGUAAUAGAUUAGACUCACAGCAAGGUUUGCAAAUAAUAUAAGGCAGAUAGUGAUUUAUUCAACACAGUGUGGCUAGGCUGUAAUAUACUAAUAUACAACUAUCAUCUUAACAGCACAACUACUAGGCAUAAAUAUCGGGCAUGUUGCAUAUGACGUAAACUAUUAGUAUACAUUACUAAACACAACAGUUUGAAUGUGAAACUUGAAUCUUGUUAUGCUUGUUUCGCCAAUAGUUUAUCUGUCAAAGUCUAAGGUGACACAUAGGCAAACAUAUACAUCCAAGUCUCCAAGAACAUCAUAUCAAGAGCAGAACUAACAUACAUGAUGUAAACGCCACUAUUCAUUGGCAGUGAAACAAGAUUCAGAAACUGUAAAUGAAAUUAUGACAAGAAAUUGAGUUGACUACAAGUACAAUAAUAUGCUACUAAACAAGAAAAUGCAAGCAAGAUGUUCAUAUCAUAACAUCAAUUUUAGCGUGUUUACUACUUGCUGUUAUGAACUAACAAGAGAGACAUCUUGGCUUCUCAAGACCAUGCUGGGUAGGACAAGACUGACCAUAAUUCUCACUUAAUGAAACAUCUUGUUUGCAGCCUUUCUACCUUCUUUUGCAAUUAUUUUUUAAUUAUCACUAUCUCAAUGUAUUCCUCCAAUCAUAUCCUAACAUAAAUGUCACAGCUUCUCCUCACUGUAAGUGAGUGUUCCCUUUCACAACUGAGCAGUACCUCCAACAGCUAAUUCAACAUUUUCACAUCCGCAACUCCAUAACACUAUGCCUACUAAAUGUCCGUAACCUGAACAAAAAUAAGAGCAGGCAACAUUCUGCUUUUGGAGUAAACUAUGCAGUGUGCACAGUAAGGAACUCAGGUAACUUUGACAAUGCUAAAAUCUAUUAAAUUAUUAUGCAAAAAGGAAGAUGGAAUCCAUCAUCCUAAUACGCAAUGCACACAUUAAAUCCAAAUACAAUGUACCAUGAACCAAACGAUGGAAAGGCUAAUAUCAGCUAUAGGCGAUGGUGGAUUGGUGAUUCCGGCGUUCUAACGGAUCAAAACUCUAAAACCAAACUAAAAUUCUAUCCGAGAUUACGCACGAAAUUACAGCUCCCGCGGCAGAUCUGAUCCCUCUAUCUCAAAACCCUAAAACACAAGGCA